rnacentral:misc_RNA from 1 species
GAUGAAGAACGUAGCGAAAUGCGAUAAGUAAUGUGAAUUGCAGAAUUCACUGAAUCAUCGAAUCUUUGAACGCACAUUGCGCCCCCUGGUAUUCCGGGGGGCAUGCCUGUUCGAGCGUCAUUUCACCACUCAAGCCUCGCUUGGUAUUGGGCAACGCGGUCCGCCGCGUGCCUCAAAUCGACCGGCUGGGUCUUCUGUCCCCUAAGCGUUGUGGAAACUAUUCGCUAAAGGGUGUUCGGGAGGCUACGCCGUAAAACAACCCCAUUUCUAAGGUUGACCUCGGAUCAGGUAGGGAUACCCGCUGAACUUAAGCAUAUCAAUAAGCGGAGGA